AUUAUUUUGGCAGAUUAGUGCAAUGAAUUUAGAAUUCAUAUAUGUAAUUAUUUUACAGAUAAUA
rnacentral:tRNA from 3 species